UCCGGGAUCGUCCAACGGUAGGACGGCUGACUGUUAAUCAGCAGAUCCAGGUUCGAGUCCUGGUCCCGGAG
rnacentral:tRNA from 1 species